rnacentral:rRNA from 1 species
CCCUUCGGGGCGUUUCUACAAGGUGCUGCAUGGUUGUCGUCAGCUCGUGCCGUGAGGUGUCGGGUUAAGUCCCAUAACGAGCGCAACCCUUAUCGUUAGUUGCCAUCUGGUAAAGCAGGGGACUCUAGCGAAACUGCCACCGUAAGGUGAGAGGAAGGUGGGGAUGACGUCAAAUCAGCACGGCCCUUAUGUCCAGGGCUACACACGUGUUACAAUGGUCGGUACAGAGGGCAGCUACCUGGUGACAGGAUGCUAAUCUCGAAAACCGGCCUCAGUUCGGAUCGAAGUCUGCAACUCGACUUCGUGAAGCUGGAUUCGCUAGUAAUCGCGCAUCAGCCAUGGCGCGGUGAAUACGUUCCCGGGCCUU